UUGACAGGUCGGUAUAAGAAACUUCUUUCAUAUUCUAUCUAUGUAUUAAACCAAGCAAGAAUCGGAAUAUGAGCGAUGGUUUAUUUCAAAUUCUUGUUUACCUGUUGUUCGUAAACUGGGACGGUCAUUUCCGCAUUGAUCAAACUCUUAAAAGUUUCCUGAAUCAAGUUUUAUGUAUUACUCACCCAUCACCAACCACUACACAUUUUAUAGCCUGCAUUUUUAUAUACUAUAAUGUCUAAUUGUUCAUAUAAUUCUCUAAACACUAUGAAUUUCACUCCACCUCUUCUUCAUAAACACUGCCAAAAAAUGGCCGUCGAAAGUUUUAUAUACCGACUCACUUCCGCUAUUUUUAGAACAUCCAAAAAUAGUCUCAGAAACCCGGAUGAGAGCAACCCUACCGCUUAAGCUCUGAACAAAUAAUUACGAAAACUUUAUAAAUAAUUUUACCAAAAGUUAUAAAUAUGAUCAAAUAAGAACACA
rnacentral:lncRNA from 1 species